GGACAUGGUGGUGAGCCGUGGCAAGGACCAGAAUGGAUCACAGAUGAUCGUUGGCCAACAGGUGGCAGAAGAGGAAUUCCUGCCUUCCUCAAGAGGAACACCUACCCCUUGGCUAAUGCUGGGAUGCCACCUAUAGAAAAGUCAGAGGGUCCAGAUCCCAUUGAAGAUACCACGCUGCAUGUGUCCUUAGUAGUCAUGUCUCCUUAGGCUCCUCUUGGACAUUCUGAGCAUGUGAGACCUGAGGACUGCAAACAGCUGUCAGAGGCUCCAAAUUCAGCAUAUCUUUCCUUUUGAGAAUCUGGCCAAGCUCCAGCUAAUCUACUUGGAUGGGUUGCCAGCUAUCUGGAGAAAAAGAUCUUCCUCAGAAGAAUAGGCUUGUUGCUUUACAGUGUUAGUGAUCCAUUCCCUUUGACGAUCCCUAGGUGGAGAUGGGGCAUGAGGAUCCUCCAGGGGAAAAGCUCACUACCACUGGGCAACAACCCUAGGUCAGGAGGUUCUGUCAAGAUACUUUCCUGGUCCCAGAUAGGAAGAUAAAGUCUCAAAAACAACCACCACAAGUCAAGCUCUUCAUUGUUCCUAUCUGCCAAAUCAUUAUACUUCCUACAAGCGGUGCGGAGAGCUGAGUCUUCAGCAGGUCCAAGAAAUUUGAACACACUGAAGGAAGUCAGCCUUCCCACCUGAAGAUCAACGUGCCUGGCACUCUAGCACUUUAGGAUAGCUGAAUGAAUGUGUAUUUCUUCAUCUCUUUCUUCCUUGUCUUUGCUCUUUGUUCUCUAUCUAAAGUGUGUCUUACCCAUUUCCAUGUUUCUCUUGCUAAUUUCUUUCAUGUGUGCCUUUGCCUCAUUUUCUCUUUUUGUUCACAAGAGUGGUCUGUGUCUUGUCUUAGACAUAUCUCUCAUUUUUCAUUUUGUUGCUGUUUCUGUUUGCUCUCCUAGAUGUGGCUCUUCUUUCACGCUUUAUUUCAUGUCUCCUUUUUGGGUCACAUGCUGUGUGCUUUUUGUCUUUUUCUUGUUCUGUCUACCUCUCCUUUCUCUGCCUACCUCUCUUUUCUCUUUGUGAACUGUGAUUACUUGUUACCCCUUCCCCUUCUUGUUCGUUUUAAAUUUCACCUUUUUUCUGAGUCUGGCCUCCUUUCUGCUGUUUCUACUUUUUAUCUCACAUUUCUCGUUUCUGCAUUUCCUUUCUGCCUCUCUUGGGCUAUUUUCUCUCUCCUCCCCUGCGUGCCUCAGCAUCUCUUGCUGUUUGUGAUUUUCUAUUUCAGUAUUAAUCUCUGUUGGCUUGUAUUUCUUCUCUGCUUCUUCCCUUUCUACUCCCCUUUGAGUAUUUCAGCCUCUUCAUGAAUCUAUCUCCCUCUCUUUGAUUUCAUGUAAUCUCUCCUUAAAUAUUUCUUUGCAUAUGUGGGCAAGUGUACGUGUGUGUGUGUCAUGUGUGGCAGAGGGGCUUCCUAACCCCUGCCUGAUAGGUGCAGAACGUCGGCUAUCAGAAUAAGCAUUGUGGAGCGAUUCCUUAUGCCAGGCUGCCACGUGAGAUGAUCCAAGACCAAAACAAGGCCCUAGACUGCAGUAAAACCCAAAACUCGAGUAGGACAGAAGGUGGAAGGCUCAUAUGGGUAGAAGGCCCAGAGUAGAAGACAGAUGGUUUGAGACUUGAGACCCGAGGACUAAGAUGGAAAGCCCGUGUUCCAAGAUAGAUAGAAGCCUCAGGCCUGAAACCAACAAAAGCCUCAAGAGCCAA
rnacentral:lncRNA from 1 species